GUGGGGAAUAUUGGACAAUGGGCGAAAGCCUGAUCCAGCCAUGCCGCGUGUGUGAAGAAGGUCUUCGGAUUGUAAAGCACUUUAAGUUGGGAGGAAGGGCAGUAAGUUAAUACCUUGCUGUUUUGACGUUACCGACAGAAUAAGCACCGGCUAACUUCGUGCCAGCAGCCGCGGUAAUACGAAGGGUGCAAGCGUUAAUCGGAAUUACUGGGCGUAAAGCGCGCGUAGGUGGUUUUGUAAGUUGGAGGUGAAAUCCCCGGGCUCAACCUUUGAACUGCCUCCAAAACUGCAUGACUAGAGUAAGGUAGAGGGUAGUGGAAUUUCCUGUGUAGCGGUGAAAUGCGUAGAUAUAGGAAGGAACACCAGUGGCGAAGGCGACUACCUGGACUGAUACUGACACUGAGGUGCGAAAGCGUGGGGAGCAAACAGGAUUAGAUACCCCUGUAGUCC
rnacentral:rRNA from 1 species